GUGGGGGAGGGAUCGGGCAGAGAUGUGGGGGGACCCCAGGGCUCCAUGGGCCCUGAGGGGGGGUCAUGGGGGUCAUGGGGAAGGAGAUGUUGGGACCAGCCACCUCACCUCCCAUCCUGACCCCCAGGAGGCUCCCAGGAUCAGCCCUUCCCCCCCACGGACUCAGGCCCCCGCAGGGGGGCUGCAGACCCAGAGCCCGAGGACAGAGGCCUGCAGAACAGGUGACUCCUGCCCCAAAGACCCCAGGCUCCCAGCUGCCCGCAGCCCCGUCCGCCCCUAACACCCCCAUCUCCUCCCAGCUCCAGCCCAGCCGCCGACGCCCAGGACCAGAACCUCUGUGAGCAGAAGAGGAGGGCAGCCCUGGGGGUGGGCAUGGAGAGCUCUGCAGCAGGGGGGGAUCCCUGGGGUGGGGGACGAGCACUGAUGCAGC
rnacentral:lncRNA from 1 species